rnacentral:ncRNA from 1 species
CCAGAGUCUUAGAUUGGUGCUGCUUUUAGCGAUAGCUCUCCCUGGCCUGGUAUCUGCGACACCCUCGAAUUGCGGGGACACCCUAAAGCCCAACCUCCUACCCCUCUCGGAAAUGAGAGACCGGCACCCGCGGUAAUGACGCAUGGGAGGAAAAACGGUUGGGAUGCUGGCGACAGCAAUGGGUAAUCCGCAGCCAAGCUCCUAACCUAGUGGUGGCAUCCAUUGACCAGGCAUUGCACACGCGUUCGCUUGCGAGCGCUGCCUAAUGGUUAGCCACUGGUAUGGAGAAGGUUCAUCGACUAAGCGGGGGUGGGUUCAAAACAACAGAGUUCUUCUGGCGUUUUGGGCUUAAGAUGUAGUCAGUCCUCCUCCGAAAGGAGGCU